rnacentral:rRNA from 1 species
UAAGCAUAUCAAUAAGCGGAGGAAAAGAAACCAACAGGGAUUGCCUCAGUAACGGCGAGUGAAGCGGCAAAAGCUCAAAUUUGAAACCGUUCGCGGGUUGUAAUUUGAAGAUUGUGUUCCGGCGACGACCACGCCUAUGUUCCUUGGAACAGGACGUCACAGAGGGUGAGAAUCCCGUGCGGCGUGGCCCCCGUCUCCUUACGGAACACUCUCUACGAGUCGAGUUGUUUGGGAAUGCAGCUCUAAGUGGGUGGUAAAUUCCAUCUAAAGCUAAAUAUUGGCGAGAGACCGAUAGCGAACAAGUACAGUGAUGGAAAGAUGAAAAGCACUUUGAAAAGAGAGUGAAACAGUACGUGAAAUUGUUGAAAGGGAAGGGCAUGCCGUCAGGCUGCCAGUGUCAGUUGGAUGAGCGGGAUAAAACCAAAGGAACGUGGCCCUCGGGUGUUAUAUCCUCUGGCAAUACCGCUCGCCCGACUGAGGCCUGCAUUAUUUAGGACACUGGCGUAAUGACGGCACGCCGCCCGUCUUGAAACACGGACCAAGGAGUCUAACGUCUAUGCGAGUGUUUGGGUGUAAAACCCGUACGCGGAAUGAAAGUGAACAGAUGAGUUUCAUCAUCGACCGAUCCUGAAGUGUUCGGAUGGAUUUGAGUAAGAGCAUAGCUGUUGGGACCCGAAAGAUGGUGAACUAUGCCUGAAUAGGGUGAAGCCAGAGGAAACUCUGGUGGAGGCUCGUAGCGGUUCUGACGUGCAAAUCGAUCGUCGAAUUUGGGUAUAGGGGCGAAAGACUAAUCGAACCAUCUAGUAGCUGGUUCCUGCCGAA